CCUACGGGAGGCAGCAGUGGGGAAUAUUGCGCAAUGGGCGAAAGCCUGACGCAGCGACGCCGCGUGUGGGAUGACGGCCUUCGGGUUGUAAACCUCUUUCAGUAGGGAAGAAGCGAAAGUGACGGUACCUGCAGAAGAAGCGCCGGCCAACUACGUGCCAGCAGCCGCGGUAAU
rnacentral:rRNA from 1 species